rnacentral:rRNA from 1 species
UACGUAGGGUGCAAGCGUUGUCCGGAAUUAUUGGGCGUAAAGAGCUCGUAGGCGGUCUGUUGCGUCGGCUGUGAAAACCCGGGGCUCAACUCCGGGCCUGCAGCCGAUACGGGCAGACUAGGGUUCGGCAGGGGAGACUGGAAUUCCUGGUGUAGCGGUGAAAUGCGCAGAUAUCAGGAGGAACACCGGUGGCGAAGGCGGGUCUCUGGGCCGAUACUGACGCUGAGGAGCGAAAGCGUGGGGAGCGAACAGG